CACCCACUGAGUCUGUGCAAUGUGCU
rnacentral:piRNA from 1 species